AUGGAGUGAAGCUUUUACUCUUCAGGAACUUCAUAUCAAGUCCUUCACCUCUAUCACUUGUGGAGGAGAAUAUGACUGGAUCCUGGAGACUAUUUCUGCUCUGUAGUCUCCUGCAAGGUGCUGGGUGCAACGCUGCAGAAUUUGAGGCCCUAGUGCCAGCAAGUGUGACGACACUCAGUGGAUCCUGUGUUACCGUUCCUUGUUCCUUCACCGUGAGGGACGGGUUUGAAGACAAGCUACAUCCUGGAUGUAUACCAACAUGGCGAAAAGAUAAAAUAACUUUCAGUACUACAACAUUCAAGGGAAAUCUAACAGCGUACAACUGUACUACCACAUUAAAUAACGUACUUGAAGACAAUGUUCAAUAUUAUUUUAGAAUUGACUGUGGAAAUCCAUUAAGAUAUGAUUUUUCAGAAUACCCAGUGACCAUCCAGAUCAAGGGGCUCCCUGAUGCACCUCGUUUGACCCCCCCCCAAGGAGCCGGUGGUGGAGGGGACUCCUGUGGAGCUGGGGUGCUCUGCCCCGUCCUACUGUGACACCCAGCCCCCCACUGUGACGUGGACCCCCGCCCUGGGGC